GUCCGGGUGGCGGAAUGGUAGACGCGCUAGCUUGAGGUGCUAGUGCCCGAUACAGGGCGUGGAGGUUCAAGUCCUCUCUCGGACA
rnacentral:tRNA from 3 species